CAGAUUUCUCUGCCAUUUCCUGGAUCUGUUCUUCACUUGGAGAAUUAUUAAUGUCAAAAUAAGCCCUCAGGAUUUUUAGCUGAUCAUCUGUAAUUCUUGUCCGUGGGCGUUUGAACUGAGAAUGUCUUAAGAAGUUGGGAUCUAAUCCGAGCUGCUGCUGGCAAAGUUGGGUGAGGUCUGCAGAGAGUGCGUCCAUCUGUGGCAGCUGCAGGGCAAGCUGGGGAGGAAGCGCAGGGUGUUGCACAGGUUGCAUCAUAAUGGAAGGAAAGAGCGGCAGGUCCAGAGAAACCGGCAGUUGGACCUGUGGAGGAGCAGAAGCUUCUCCACACAGUCUGGAGACACACUGUGCAAAUGCGUCAGAUGCAGUUGGAGAUGCAUUUUGUUGCUGAGGACGUCCUGACAGAGAGGACAGCAGAUGACCGGCUGCACCGAGUGCUGUGAUAGGACGUGCAUCUGGAUACGACUUUGGUCCCUACUAUUGUAGUUACAAUAAGGACAUUGAUAGAACUGGAAAAUAUUGAAUAAACAUGGCCA
rnacentral:lncRNA from 1 species